CACAAAAAGGUAACAAAAUUCAAUUUGAAAUGAAAACGCAUUUCUGCUAAUGCUUUUGAAUUUUCAUAUCUGACAUUUCAAAUUGAAUUUUGUUACCUUUUUGUG